CUCAAGCAGAAAAAUAUUAGGAAACCAGUAGAGAAAAAGCCCUCAAAGAUUCUAUUGUUUGACAAAACACGAGACAGUGGAAAGGCUGGGCCAAUCAACAACCUUGAAAACUUCAAGAAUCCAAUCAGGAACUCUGUGACGGUGGCGUCUGCGAAUGUCAACACGAUCUCAUUAGCCAGUUCUUUUCUUGAAUCUUCAUUUUUGAGCACCACACCAACAAGCUUCGUCACUCCAGCAAUGGCCACUCAACAAGUCAAGAUCAUGGAUCAAACAUUUACUGAAGCACCAUACAGAAGAAACAAAAAAGGUUAUCAGUCCACGCUUGGUACAGACAAACUAUUUCAAAGAGCCUCAGUCAUUUCAGCUGCUAAGACUUUACCAGAAUACAGUAAAAAUAAUUCACACUGGAUAUCAACUACUCCUGCACCAAACCUCAACACAUUAGACACAGAUGACCAUCUACAGUCAGAGACUUUCAUCAAAGUAGACACCACUGAGAGUUUUGCACCUUCAACUACAAGCUAUCCUGGUUUUAUGGUGUCUAAACAUGAGUCUGUUUCCUUUGCACUUGAUCCGUGGUCUACUGCUCCAUCUACCUCCAGAGGACUCUUUGAACAAAGACCAGACCUUACUGAGACAUCACCGCCACCAGAUACCACUGGGUAUAUAUCAUCUGGUGAGGAGGUCUUGACGACGGCCACCCAGCUCGUGUCUGGCCUGCAUCUGAAGGCUCCAACAGACGUCCACAACUCAACUGACAUUACUGAUGAUCAAGUAAAUGAAAAAAGCAAUCAGAGUGACCCCAAACAAACACUUGAUCCUUCAGCGUGGAAAGAUCUUCCAAGAUUUUCAAGGAUACAUCGUCCAUUGUGUCCCUACCCUCCGUUUCCUUCUCACGGAACGUUCUACUUUCGGUCGAUAAAGAAUCCUGGCCCGCUUCAGUAUAAGCAUUAUAUUCAGUAUACAUGUUACCCUGGAUACACAUUGACCAAUGGUGACGUCUACAGCUAUUGUCAACACAAUGGACAAUGGAGUGGCCAAACACCUCUGUGCUUAGAGUUAACUCCUUGCUCCUUAAACAAUGGAGGAUGUUCGCAGAUCUGUCAUGUAAAUAAACAGAAUCGCGCUCAGUGUCUUUGUAAACCAGGAUUUCUUCUUCUGGAGGAUCAGCGCACCUGUAGAGGUGAGAUGGGAACCACAUGCACAUGUAAUCUUGUUAUAUACCAU
rnacentral:lncRNA from 1 species